CCUACGGGAGGCAGCAGUAGGGAAUAUUGCUCAAUGGGGGAAACCCUGAAGCAGCAACGCCGCGUGGAGGAUGAAGGUUUUCGGAUUGUAAACUCCUUUUGUUAGAGAAGAUAAUGACGGUAUCUAACGAAUAAGCACCGGCUAACUCCGUGCCAGCAGCCGCGGUAAUACGGAGGGUGCAAGCGUUACUCGGAAUCACUGGGCGUAAGGAGCGCGUAGGCGGGAUAGCAAGUCAGAUGUGAAAGCCUAUGGCUUAACCAUAGAACUGCAUUUGAAACUGUUAUUCUAGAGUAUGGGAGAGGUAGGUGGAAUGCGUGGUGUAGGGGUAAAAUCCGUAGAGAUCAAGAGGAAUACUCAUUGCGAAGGCGACCUGCUAGAACAUAACUGACGCUGAUGCGCGAAAGCGUGGGGAGCAAACAGGAUUAGAUACCCUUGUAGUC
rnacentral:rRNA from 1 species